rnacentral:rRNA from 1 species
GACGAACGCUGGCGGUGUGCUUAACACAUGCAAGUCGAACGGAAAGGCCCUGCUUUUGUGGGGUGCUCGAGUGGCGAACGGGUGAGUAACACGUGAGUAACCUGCCCUUGACUUUGGGAUAACUUCAGGAAACUGGGGCUAAUACCGGAUAGGAGCUCCUGCUGCAUGGUGGGGGUUUGAAAGUUUCGGCGGUUGGGGAUGGACUCGCGGCUUAUCAGCUUGUUGGUGGGGUAGUGGCUUACCAAGGCUUUGACGGGUAGCCGGCCUGAGAGGGUGACCGGCCACAUUGGGACUGAGAUACGGCCCAGACUCCUACGGGAGGCAGCAGUGGGGAAUAUUGCACAAUGGGCGGAAGCCUGAUGCAGCAACGCCGCGUGCGGGAUGACGGCCUUCGGGUUGUAAACCGCUUUCGCCUGUGACGAAGCGUGAGUGACGGUAAUGGGUAAAGAAGCACCGGCUAACUACGUG